GCCAUGCCGCGUGUGUGAAGAAGGCCUUUUGGUUGUAAAGCACUUUAAGCAGUGAAGAAGACCUAACGGUUAAUACCCGUUAGCGAUGACAUUAGCUGCAGAAUAAGCACCGGCUAACUCUGUGCCAGCAGCCGCGGUAAUACAGAGGGUGCAAGCGUUAAUCGGAAUUACUGGGCGUAAAGCGAGCGUAGGUGGCUUGAUAAGUCAGAUGUGAAAUCCCCGGGCUUAACCUGGGAACUGCAUCUGAUACUGUUGGGCUAGAGUAGGUGAGAGGGAGGUAGAAUUUCAGGUGUAGCGGUGAAAUGCGUAGAGAUCUGAAGGAAUACCGAUGGCGAAGGCAGCCUCCUGGCAUCAUACUGACACUGAGGUUCGAAAGCGUGGGUAGCAAACAGGAUUAGAUACCCUGGUAGUCCACGCCGUAAACGAUGUCUACUAGUCGUUGGGGAACUUGAUUCCUUAGUGACGCAGCUAACGCAAUAAGUAGACCGCCUGGGGAGUACGGCCGCAAGGUUAAAACUCAAAUGAAUUGACGGGGGCCCGCACAAGCGGUGGAGCAUGUGGUUUAAUUCGAUGCAACGCGAAGAACCUUACCUGGUCUUGACAUAUCUAGAAUCCUGCAGAGAUGCGGGAGUGCCUUCGGGAAUUAGAAUACAGGUGCUGCAUGGCUGUCGUCAGCUCGUGUCGUGAGAUGUUGGGUUAAGUCCCGCAACGAGCGCAACCCUUUUCCUUAGUUACCAGCGGUUUGGCCGGGGACUCUAAGGAUACUGCCAGUGACAAACUGGAGGAAGGCGGGGACGACGUCAAGUCAUCAUGGCCCUUACGACCAGGGCUACACACGUGCUACAAUGGUAGGUACAGAGGGCAGCUACACAGCGAUGUGAUGCGAAUCUCAAAAAGCCUAUCGUAGUCCAGAUUGGAGUCUGCAACUCGACUCCAUGAAGUAGGAAUCGCUAGUAAUCGCGGAUCAGAAUGCCGCGGUGAAUACGUUCCCGGGCCUUGUACACACCGCCCGUCACACCAUGGGAGUUGAUUGCACCAGAAGUGGGUAGCCUAACUUUUAGAGGGCGCUCACCACGGUGUGGUUGAUGACUGGGGUGAAGUCGUAACAAGGUAA
rnacentral:rRNA from 1 species